rnacentral:rRNA from 1 species
AUUGAACGCUGGCGGCAGGCCUAACACAUGCAAGUCGAGCGAGCGGCGGACGGGUGAGUAAUGCCUAGGAAUCUGCCUGGUAGUGGGGGAUAACGUCCGGAAACGGGCGCUAAUACCGCGUACCAUAGGAUGAGCCCAAGGGGGAUUAGGUAGUUGGUGGGGUAAUGGCCUACCAAGCCGACGAUCUCUAGCUGGUCUGAGAGGAGGACCAGCCACACUGGAACUGAGACACGGUCCAGACUCCUACGGGAGGCAGCAGUGGGGAAUAUUGCACAAUGGGCGCAAGCCUGAUGCAGCCAUGCCGCGUGUGUGAAGAAGGCCUUCGGGUUGUAAAGCACUUUCAGCGGGGAGGCGUUACCCGCAGAAGAAGCACCGGCUAACUCCGUGCCAGCAGCCGCGGUAAUAC